UACGUAGGGCGCAAGCGUUGUCCGGAAUUAUUGGGCGUAAAGAGCUCGUAGGCGGCUUGUCACGUCGGGUGUGAAAGCCCGGGGCUUAACCCCGGGUCUGCAUUCGAUACGGGCAGGCUAGAGUGUGGUAGGGGAGAUCGGAAUUCCUGGUGUAGCGGUGAAAUGCGCAGAUAUCAGGAGGAACACCGGUGGCGAAGGCGGGUCUCUGGGCAGUAACUGACGCUGAGGAGCGAAAGCGUGGGGAGCGAACGGG
rnacentral:rRNA from 1 species